UCGAGAAUCUUCGGCAAUGGGCGCAAGCCUGACCGAGCGACGCCGCGUGCGGGAUGAAGGCCUUCGGGUUGUAAACCGCUGUCAGAGGGGAGGAAAUCAACGGGGGUACUCUCCCGUAGUUGACCUAUCCUCAGAGGAAGGACGGGCUAAGUUCGUGCCAGCAGCCGCGGUAAGACGAACCGUCCGAACGUUAUUCGGAAUCACUGGGCUUAAAGGGUGCGUAGGCGGCGCAGAAAGUAGGGUGUGAAAUCCCUCGGCUUAACCGAGGAACUGCGCCCUAAACUACUGUGCUUGAGUGAGAUAGAGGUGAGCGGAACUUAGGGUGGAGCGGUGAAAUGCGUUGAUAUCCUAAGGAACACCGGUGGCGAAAGCGGCUCACUGGAUCUCUGCUGACGCUGAGGCACGAAAGCUAGGGUAGCAAACGG
rnacentral:rRNA from 1 species